rnacentral:rRNA from 1 species
GGGUCAGUAGGUUGGUCGUGCCACCGGUACGUACUGGUCUCACUGAUUCCUCCUUCCUGAAGAACCGUAAUGCCAUUAAUUUGGUAUUGCGGGGAGACAGGACUGUUACUUUGAAAAAAUUAGAGUGUUUAAAGCAAGCUAACGCUUGAAUACAUUAGCAUGGAAUAAUGAAAUAGGACGAUCGAUCCUAUUUUGUUGGUUUCUAGGAUUGACGUA